rnacentral:rRNA from 1 species
GACGAACGCUGGCGGCGUGCCUAAUACAUGCAAGUAGAACGCACAGUUUAUACCGUAGCUUGCUACACCAUAAACUGUGAGUUGCGAACGGGUGAGUAACGCGUAGGUAACCUGCCUGGUAGCGGGGGAUAACUAUUGGAAACGAUAGCUAAUACCGCAUAAUAUUGAUUAUUGCAUGAUAAUUGAUUGAAAGAUGCUAUCGCAUCACUACCAGAUGGACCUGCGUUGUAUUAGCUAGUAGGUGAGGUAACGGCUCACCUAGGCGACGAUACAUAGCCGACCUGAGAGGGUGAUCGGCCACACUGGGACUGAGACACGGCCCAGACUCCUACGGGAGGCAGCAGUAGGGAAUCUUCGGCAAUGGACGAAAGUCUGACCGAGCAACGCCGCGUGAGUGAAGAAGGUUUUCGGAUCGUAAAGCUCUGUUGUAAGAGAAGAACGGGUGUGAGAGUGGAAAGUUCACACUGUGACGGUAUCUUACCAGAAAGGGACGGCUAACUACGUG